CUCUUUUUUCUUAUUCUCAAUCUCAACUUAUCUCCUCCGACCAUCUCCUGCCUUGCUUAAUCUCCAUUUAUCUUCAUGCCUAUCCCUGCUCAGCCUCCAUCCAAGCCUGCCGUCGUUAGCAUCAGUCGCCAUUGUCGUGGAGAUCUGAGAAGGAAAAGAGAUGAAACGGGAAGGAGAAUAAUACGGUGAAUCCGUAUGAUAGAUCAAUGUUCAGUAAACAAAGAUCUAUAAACUCAUUUGUAAAAGAUUGAUGAAAGAGAACAAUCCUUACGUAUGAAUUUCCAAUAGAUUUUUCCCAGAAAGUACA